GCGCUUUGAGUACAUAUUGCAUGGCUGAGAAGUUGGUUACAAUGACAUACGAGAUACUAAAGACACUUGUUGGAUUCAAGAAACAAGGUCGUUGGAUAAAGGGUAUAAACGGAGAAAAUGUGGUUUUCCAGAAAAAUGAUAUUCAUCACAGGUAUCCACAGUUGAAGGAUUGUCUGAUUCUAACAGAUGACGAGUCUGAAGAUACACGCUUCAAAUCUCUUGCUACAUUCAUUCAAUCUUCGAU